AAAUACACUCACACUAAGAACUUAGACAACCCAGAGGACUUGAGAACAUAUGAUGGGGAAGGAGUCAAUCCCUAUGACAUAAAGUAUAAACUGGUCUCCAUCCUAGAGGAGAAAGUGCUGGAAGAAUGCCUCUCUAUUCUCUAUUAUUGGAAAGAAAGAAGUAUUCCUUGAAAGAAUGGCACAUGUGCUUCCAGGAAACAAAGAAAGAACAAGAUGAGGAGAGGGGAAUACUGCUAUGUGUCACAAGUUUAGAAGUGAAGUGAGUUUUGACGAUCAUGGCUUUUGCAAAACCUAGAAGAAGCAAUCCAUACAUGGCCACGUGACCAGUGAUGACCAAAGUAAUACUGCUUUGCACUGAGCCACUUAGGAACCAGAAAACUAACAGAUUGGAUAAUCAGCAUUUUGAAUCAUG